rnacentral:rRNA from 1 species
GAUGAAUGCUGGCGGCGUGCCUAAUACAUGCAAGUCGUACGGAAAGGCCCUUCGGGGUACUCGAGUGGCGGACGGCUGAGUAACGCGUGGGAACGUGCCCCAAAGUGAGGGAUAACGCACCGAAAGGUGUGCUAAUACCGCAUAUGGUCUUCGGAUUAAAGCUUCGGCGCUUUGGGAGCGGCCCGCGUACGAUUAGAUAGUUGGUAGGGUAAUGGCCUACCAAGUCGGCGAUCGUUAGCUGGUCUGAGAGGAUGAUCAGCCAGACUGGAACUGAGACACGGUCCAGACUCCUACGGGAGGCAGCAGUAAGGAAUCUUCCACAAUGGGGGCAACCCUGAUGGAGCAACGCCGCGUGCAGGAUGAAGGCCCUCGGGUCGUAAACUGCUUUUAUGAGUGAAGAAUAUAACGGUAACUCAUGAAUAAGCACCGGCUAACUACGUGCCAGCAGCCGCCGUAA